AAAAGUAGAAGAAACAUCCUCAUCAUCUGCAAGAAAUCGUCAUUUAUCAUGUUAAAACCUAAAGCGCUCACACAAGUUUUGAGUCAGGCUAAUACAGGAGGUGUUCAGAGCACACUACUCUUGAACAAUGAAGGUGCCUUGUUGGCUUACUCUGGCUAUGGAGACAAGGAUGCCGCUGUGACAGCAGCCAUUGCCAGUAAUGUGUGGAUGUCGUACCAGAAGAGUGGGACCGUGGCCUUCAGUGAUGACAAACUCAAGUACAUUAUGUUAGAAUGUGAGGAAGGUAAAGUUGCCAUUACAAAGGUAGCCAAUCUUUUAUUGUGCAUUUGUUCAAAAGAAAAUGUUGGAUUUGGAAUUCUAAAGGCAAAGGUAAGAGGAAUAUUCAAGGUAAUCAUACAUAUGGUACAUAUAUUAUCUUUGCUUCUGAUUUAACUAGACUGUAGCUAAGUACAUUUUAUGUUUUAGAUGGAGGCAUUAGCAUUAUAUCUUGAAGAACCUUUAUCGCAAGUAGCUGCAUCUUGACACAGAACAUGCUAAUUAUUUGUCUUAAUUAGAAGAAUGUGUUCAAGUAUUGUCUUGAAAGAACUCUUUAAAAAAAAAAGUUAUGAAUGUAAUUUUGAAAUGUCAUCUUGGAGCAGAGUUUGAAAAUGUAUAAUUUUUCUGAUGCUUAACGCAUUAUGUUGGGUCUACAGUAUAUGUCAAUUCCAUGUUUUAUUUCAAAACUUAAUAUGUAGAAUUAAGAUGUUAUCUUACAAUUCAUACUGGAUUAAUGAAGUGUUUUUGUACCAAAAUUAAAGAGCAUGCAUUUGAUAAUCAUUCAAUUUGUUUAAAACUCAGGUUUGGAAUAGUAUACAUCAUUCAAAUAAAUUGACAUUAAUUUCAAUUUUAGAACUUUUUUAAUAUUAUUAUUACAAGUACAGCUGCAAUUCAUUUAUGAAUACUGAAUUAUGUAUUGCUGACAAAAGUACCUGUUUUCAUUAAAGGCAUUUAGUACAUACAGUGUAUAUUGUUUUGAAACUGGUUACAAACUAAGUACCUGUAUUUGUAUUGGUAAUUGAGAAAUAAUUUUGACUAGGUCUAUAAAAUAAACUCAUAAUACCC
rnacentral:misc_RNA from 1 species